UACGGGGGGAGCAAGCGUUGUUCGGAUUUACUGGGCGUAAAGGGCGCGUAGGCGGUCAGCACACGUCAGUUGUGAAAUCUCCGGGCUUAACUCGGAAAGGUCAACUGAUACUGUGCGACUAGAGUGCAGAAGGGGCAACUGGAAUUCUCGGUGUAGCGGUGAAAUGCGUAGAUAUCGAGAGGAACACCUGCGGCGAAGGCGGGUUGCUGGGCUGACACUGACGCUGAGUGAGCGAAAGCCAGGGGAGCAAACGGG
rnacentral:rRNA from 1 species